UACCUGCAGCUCGAGUGGUAACCGCUAUUAUUGGGCCUAAAGCGUCCGUAGCCGGUUUGGUAAAUAUCUGGGUAAAUCGUGAGGCUUAACUUCACGAAUUUCGGAUAGACUGCCAGACUUGGGAUCGGGGGAGGUCAGAGGUACUCCAGGGGUAGCGGUGAAAUGUUGUAAUCCUUGGAGGACCACCGGUAGCGAAGGCGUCUGACUAGAACGAGUCCGACGGUGAGGGACGAAGCCCUGGGGCGCAAACCGGAUUAGAUACCCGGGUAGUCCAGGGUGUAAACGAUGUGGGCUUUGUAUUGGAGGUCCCACGUGGGCGUCCAGUGCAGAAGAGAAGUUGUUAAGCCCACCGCCUGGGAAGUACGGUCGCAAGGCUGAAACUUAAAGGAAUUGGCGGGGAGCACAGCAACGGGAGGAGCGUGCGGUUUA
rnacentral:rRNA from 1 species